rnacentral:lncRNA from 1 species
AGGAACCAGGGGAGGGAAAGAUCAGCGUCGGGUAAUAGGGCAUAAAAGAUGGAACGCUGCUUUCUGCAGGGCUCCUGCUUGCAGGAUGCCUGCCACUGCAAUUGCAAAUAAAAUCUGCUUUGAUCAGAGAUACCGUCCUGAUCAAUUAUUUGGAUAUUUCCAACACGCCUGCACCCAAAAGAAAGGACCCCAAAAAGGGUCAUGCGCACCCCCAGAUGAGCCCAGGAACCCCACAGAGACCCCAACAAUGGACAGGGUGACCCUAAAAAUGGGCAGCGGGACCCCAAAACCUCACUCGGGCUGCCCGGGGGGUGGGGGGGUCUCCUUCUCUGCAGGUAUUGCAGAGCCGCCUGGACGCACCGUGCCCCACGGAGACCCAGAGAGACGCACGGAGCCGAGCUGUGCAGCUGCUGCAGGAGCUGCUGGGCAGGGCUGGGACUCGAGGAGCUCUGGAGGUCCCUUCCAGCCCCUACAGUUCUGUGCUUCUGCGAAAACCCCAAUUUUAUUAUGGGGGCGUGAAGGGGAGAGUUCAUCUCCAAGGUUUUGGGUUCAAUUUCUGUUCAGUUUGGGUUUUUUUUGGGGGGGGUCACGAAGCACUUUUUGGGGCAAGCCCCCCCCCCCUUUUUUUUUUUUUUACUGGGGGUGUCCAACGGCUAACUUUUGGGGCAAUUUACCCUUCAUUUGGAGAUCUUUGGGGUCACGAAGCCCUUUUUUGGGUCCAAAACCCCAGUUUUAUUAUGGGGGGCUGGCAUUUUGGGUCCAUUUCUCUUUAUUUUCCUUUUAUUUUGCAGGGGUCAUUGUGCACUUUUGGGGUCCAUUUCUCCCCAGUUUGGGGCACUGUGGGGCCAGAAAACGCCAUUUUGGUUCAAAACCUCAAUUUUAGGAUGGGGGGGGGCACACUCUUUGGGUCCAUUUCCCCUUCCCAUGAGAAAGAAAAGAAAAACUUCCAACAGGCACAAAACGCGGGGAGGGGGGGGGGGGGGGAAAAAAAAAAAAAAGCAGGUAUGUUUAUUCAGCGGUGGGUGCAAGGGGCAUCGCUCCUCCUAACUUGCGCACCAGAUGACACGAAAGGCAGAUAUUGACCUGCUUACACAUAAAAAGCAUCUGCAAUCGGUGACCUCUCGGGGGGAGCCAUCCCUGAACUGUUUCA